ACGAAAGUCUGACGGAGCAACGCCGCGUGAGCGAUGAAGGCCUUCGGGUCGUAAAGCUCUGUUGUCAGGGAAGAACAAGUAUCGGAGUAACUGCCGGUACCUUGACGGUACCUGACCAGAAAGCCACGGCUAACUACGUGCCAGCAGCCGCGGUAAUACGUAGGUGGCAAGCGUUGUCCGGAAUUAUUGGGCGUAAAGCGCGCGCAGGCGGUUCCUUAAGUCUGAUGUGAAAGCCCCCGGCUCAACCGGGGAGGGUCAUUGGAAACUGGGGAACUUGAGUGCAGAAGAGGAGAGCGGAAUUCCACGUGUAGCGGUGAAAUGCGUAGAGAUGUGGAGGAACACCAGUGGCGAAGGCGGCUCUCUGGUCUGUAACUGACGCUGAGGCGCGAAAGCGUGGGGAGCGAACAGGAUUAGAUACCCUGGUAGUCCACGCCGUAAACGAUGAGUGCUAAGUGUUAGAGGGUUUCCGCCCUUUAGUGCUGCAGCAAACGCAUUAAGCACUCCGCCUGGGGAGUACGG
rnacentral:rRNA from 1 species